rnacentral:lncRNA from 1 species
GCAUAGUUUCAUAAUACCAAGUUGUAAUGACCAUUACAUUCUACCACUUCCAUUGCACUUAUUAUAUUAAGGAAAUAAACAACUUAAAAUAACAACAAAAAUCAUGAUAACGCGUAGCUAGGAAAUCAUAAACAUUUGUGUUUUUUUUACUAAGCUAAAUUAAUAUCAUUAAAAAUCUCACAAGGUUACAGACAAUGGAGUACUUCAAACUAAUCUAAAUCAGGUCAAAAUACAUAACACCCCAAACAAAAACACUGCCAUAAAAAUUUAAA